CCCGCAUCCCGGCAAAGAGUGGAUCGACUGAUCACCCCCCCCCCCCGCGAGCAUCUGUAGGUGAAGUCAGUUUCGCCAGCUACAUGGUCCUACACGCAGGGGUGUCAAACUGGCGGCCCGGGGGCCACAUGUGACCCUCCAAAGGAUUACAUGCGUCCCGCCCACCACUGUGCUGAGACACAUCUGCCACUGAGACCGGUCCCCUCUUGACCAUUGGCCCCCAGGUCAUUUGAGUUCGACACCCCUGCCCUACAGUGUAGUGAUACAAGGACAACCAGAGCUUCUCACAUCUUGACUAUUGCAGGCUCUCAGACAGGCAGAGAAGGAGUUGGAGACUCGUCCUCUCUGGUGUCCUCCAGAGACACUG